CAAGAGUUUAAAACACAAGUCAAACACUUCGUGAAGUACGUUCUUUAAGCAUCUGCGCUUUUACUGAUAGUGUUAAAAAAUCAACAUGUGAAAAAUCUUGACAUGUUUUAGUUUCAGUUAUCCACACAGCAGGACGUUAAUACGGAAAAUGAAGGGUCAACAUGGACAUAAUCUGAUUCACACAGGAAUGUGGAGAGGUUUACUCAAAUUUCCCGUGUUGCAAUACAAUGAUAAGACGUUAUAUAGCGUGUGAUAUUUUAUUUGAAGACGAAUCUUGGCGAAUGAUAAAUUUUCUACGCCGUAUGCAAGAUUUGUAAACCUCACAUUUCAAAGGUCUUGAACAGUUUUAAUGAUGACCCUAAUCAGUGAACAAAAGAAAUUGCAGAUGGAAUACAAUUGUACAUGUACAGUCAUCACUGUCAGUGACACAGUCUGAUUUUAGAGAGCUGUCAGAUCAGGAAGAAUGUGGGUGAUCUGAAUCCUCGAAAUUUACAUUCUUUGAAAAGGAAGGUCUCAACAGCUGUACAAGAAGUUCUCGACUACCUCGCGCCCACUCAGUCAAAGAAAGUUUGGCAACUUGUGAAUGAGAACAUGCUAAUUCUAGCGAGAGGAUAUGUACCUUUUUAUCAUAUAUGAAGCACAUACAAAAGAUGGUAUUUACCAUAUAUAUAUAUUUUCUUAUGAAAUAAUGCUCACUGUUGGACCAUAGUGGUUGAAUUCCAUUCAUAUCUUUUAAAGGAAAUACAAUGUAGCAGCUGGGUUCUUUUUACUUCUGUGUAUAUUACUGGUAUGUUUUGAAGUAUAUUUUUAUGACCAUGAUUUUAUAAACUGUAAUCAGUCUGAUUUAAAUCGGACCCCAUAUUCAUUAUCAUAUCAUUAUGGGAUCUGAUUUUAAUCAGACUGAUAUAUAUUGAAUUAUUGACACCUCUGCAAGUGUCCAGACCAUUGCUAUCACCACAAAAUGAUGCAUUGGUAGUUCAGCUCUACAAGGAAUCCACUGUCAGAAAUCCCGAGAAGCAAUUUAUUUUCAUGUGUUUGCUUGUAGUACUUACUUACAAUUGAUAUUAGCACAUCAGAAUUUUGAUCAAUAUGUUUUUUUGUUGUUUUUUAUAUUACAUAUUAUGUGUAUGAUGAUUCUUGACAGGAAUUUAUUAUAAAAUGCUAAUACAUUCAUUUUAAUGCAUUUUGCUAAGGUAAAAUUGGUUUCCAUAGAUACUGUAAAAGAGAAUAAAGCUGUAAACAUGUAGUUAUAAUAGUUUUAUAUACAUGUAGUUUUGGGAACAGCUUGGAUACAUGUUUAUUUACAUGUAGAUCUGGUCAUUUUACAAAGUGAAAUUGUGGGUAUGUAUUGUAAAUUACAAUUUUUAACAUGAAUGUAAAAUAAUUCCAAAGACUUAGACAUAGAAUGCAUGUCAAUAGAGAAUUAUAUGGUGAUAUUGUUGUAUUGUACUCUCAUUUCUGUGCAAUUGUUUAAUACGAAUUGAAAUCUUAGGUGUGUUGCUAGGGAACAUUUGUUAUGGAAACAUGGUUAAAUCUGAUGUUUUCAGUGGGCUCAGCAUGUCAGUAGAGAAUUUUAUUGUGAUUUAUUUACAUUAAAUUCUCACUUCAGUGAAUUUAAAUAGUACAAUUUGAAAUUUUAUGUUUGUUGCUAGGAGGGAAAAUUGGUUGCUAUGGAGAUGUGGUUAUAUGUGAUGUCUUCAAUAGGCCUGACAUAUCUGUAGAAAGCUAUAUGUUGGUAUAAUUGUAUUAUAUUCUCACUUCAUUGCAACUGAAUGCUACAAUUUGAAAUUUUAUAUUUGUUGCUAAGGAAAAUUGAUUGCAAUGGUGAUAUAGUUAAGUCUAAAGUCUUCAAUGGGUUCGAAAUUUCACUUAAGUAUUGUGGAACAUUAUGAAUUGUGUUUAUUUUUAGUGAAUAUUAUCAUUUCAAUUCAUACAUUGUAAAUAUUCAUGUUUUGGUGUGUUACAAAUGGGUCCAAAAGAGUUGCCUAGCAACCAUUACUGUGUGUUUCCGUCUCUUUUGAUUUUUGUUUUGAGUACGCUCAAUAUUCAUUGUUUUGAAAUUAUGCACCAGAAUUUGGCAUUUUUCCGAUAAUUUUAGUAAUAUGUAUUUAAAAUACCUUAAAAUUGUCAAAUUUACAGAAAUUUGAUAGAUAUUAAAACCACGCCUAUCCCAAUAUCCUCUACAUGCACCAUAUAACGGUAUUUGAUUAUUAUUGUAUAUUUUUAUUUUGAGGUAACCCUUGCCUCUCCCAAAUAAAUUGUCACUAUAUUUUGAAA